GGUCAAAGAUGAUUCUGCUCUUGAAUUCUAGUAAUGCUUCUUUGUCCACCACGUGACAUGGCUCCGAAAUUGAGCAUUUUGAAGAGAGGCAUGUGCUUCUAACGACAACUUGGAUUUUCACUAACUUGGCUCUUUGGAAGCAAGUGCCUUUAGUUCAACAAAAAGAAGUUGG
rnacentral:sRNA from 1 species